rnacentral:rRNA from 1 species
GACGAACGCUGGCGGCGUGCCUAAUACAUGCAAGUUGAGCGCUGAAGGUUGGUACUUGUACCAACUGGAUGAGCAGCGAACGGGUGAGUAACGCGUGGGGAAUCUGCCUUUGAGCGGGGGACAACAUUUGGAAACGAAUGCUAAUACCGCAUAAAAACUUUAAACACAAGUUUUAAGUUUGAAAGAUGCAAUUGCAUCACUCAAAGAUGAUCCCGCGUUGUAUUAGCUAGUUGGUGAGGUAAAGGCUCACCAAGGCGAUGAUACAUAGCCGACCUGAGAGGGUGGUCCGCCACAAUGGGACUGAGACACGGCCCAAACUCCUACGGGAAGCAGCAGUAGGGAAUCUUCGGCAAUGGACGAAAGUCUGACCGAGCAACGCCGCGUGAGUGAAGAAGGUUCUCGGAUCGUAAAACUCCGUUUGUAGAGAAGAAAGAAGGGGAGAGGGGAAAGCGCAUCAAGUGACGGUAACUACCCAGAAAGCGACGGCUAACUACGUG